rnacentral:tRNA from 1 species
GUGGGCAGAGCUCAGUGGUAGAGCUCAUGCUUAGCAUGCACGAAACCCUGGGUUCAAUCCCCAGUACCUCCA